GACGAACCGUGCGAACGUUGUUCGGAAUCACUGGGCUUAAAGGGCGCGUAGGCGGGCUCAAAAGUCAGGGGUGAAAUCCCAGGGCUCAACCCUGGAACUGCCUUUGAUACUGACGAUCUGGAGAUCGGGAGAGGUUGGUGGAAUUCCGAGUGUAGAGGUGAAAUUCGUAGAUAUUCGGAGGAACACCAGAAGCGAAGGCGGCCAACUGGCCCGAUACUGACGCUGAGGCGCGAAAGCGUGGGGAGCAAACAGG
rnacentral:rRNA from 1 species